rnacentral:rRNA from 1 species
GACGAACGCUGGCGGCGUGCUUAACACAUGCCAGUCGAACGGAAAGGCCCUGCUUUUGUGGGGUGCUCGAGUGGCGAACGGGUGAGUAACACGUGAGUAACCUGCCCUUGACUUUGGGAUAACUUCAGGAAACUGGGGCUAAUACCGGAUAGGAGCUCCUGCUGCAUGGUGGGGGUUGGAAAGUUUCGGCGGUUGGGGAUGGACUCGCGGCUUAUCAGCUUGUUGGUGGGGUAGUGGCUUACCAAGGCUUUGACGGGUAGCCGGCCUGAGAGGGUGACCGGCCACAUUGGGACUGAGAUACGGCCCAGACUCCGACGGGAGGCAGCAGUGGGGAAUAUUGCACAAUGGGCGGAAGCCUGAUGCAGCAACGCCGCGUGCGGGAUGACGGCCUUCGGGUUGUAAACCGCUUUCGCCUGUGACGAAGCGUGAGUGACGGUAAUGGGUGAAGAAGCACCGGCUAACUACGUG